CCUACGGGCGGCAGCAGUGGGGAAUAUUGCACAAUGGGGGAAACCCUGAUGCAGCGACGCCGCGUGAGUGAAGAAGUAUUUCGGUAUGUAAAGCUCUAUCAGCAGGGAAGAAAAUAGACGGUACUUGACUAAGAAGCCCCGUCGAACUACGUCCCAGCAGCCGCGGUAAUACGAAGGGGGCAAGCGUUAUCCGGAUUUACUGGGUGUAAAGGGAGCGUAGACGGUGCGGCAAGUCUGAAGUGAAAGGCAAGGGCUUAACCCCUGAACUGCUUUGGAAACUGACAUGCUAGAGUGCAGGAGAGGUAAGUGGAAUUCCUAGUGUAGCGGUGAAAUGCGUAGAUAUUAGGAGGAACACCAGUGGCGAAGGCGGCUUACUGGACAGUAACUGACGUUGAGGCUCGAAAGCGUGGGGAGCAAACAGGAUUAGAUACCCUAGUAGUC
rnacentral:rRNA from 1 species